UGAACGUGUAUUGGUGUGAAGGUCUUCACC
rnacentral:piRNA from 2 species